rnacentral:rRNA from 2 species
GGAUUGAUUGGUGCUUGCAUCAUGAUUUACAUUUGAGUGAGUGGCGAACUGGUGAGUAACACGUGGGAAACCUGCCCAGAAGCGGGGGAUAACACCUGGAAACAGAUGCUAAUACCGCAUAACAACUUGGACCGCAUGGUCCGAGCUUGAAAGAUGGCUUCGGCUAUCACUUUUGGAUGGUCCCGCGGCGUAUUAGCUAGAUGGUGGGGUAACGGCUCACCAUGGCAAUGAUACGUAGCCGACCUGAGAGGGUAAUCGGCCACAUUGGGACUGAGACACGGCCCAAACUCCUACGGGAGGCAGCAGUAGGGAAUCUUCCACAAUGGACGAAAGUCUGAUGGAGCAACGCCGCGUGAGUGAAGAAGGGUUUCGGCUCGUAAAACUCUGUUGUUAAAGAAGAACAUAUAUCUGAGAGUAACUGUUCAGGUAUUGACGGUAUUUAACCAGAAAGCCACGGCUAACUACGUGCCAGCAGCCGCGGUCAUACGUA